GUCUUUUUGAUUUUAAUUUAAAGUUUAACCUGCCCAUUGAAAAUUUUUAAAAGGCUGCGGUAUUUUGACUGUACAAAGGUAGCAUAAUCAUUAGUUUUUUAAUUGAAAACUUGUAUGAAUGGUUGAAUGAGAAAUUAACUUUUUUAAAAAAAUAAUUGAAUUUUACUUUUUAAUUAAAAGGUUAAAAUAAAUUUAAAAGACGAGAAGACCCUAUAGAGUUUUAUAAUUUUUAUUUAAUAUUUAAAAAGAUUAAUUAAAAUUUUAUAAAAGAAAAUAUUUUGUUGGGGUGAUAAUAAAAUUUAAAUAACUUUUAUUUUUUUUUUACAUUAAUAUAUGAAUUUAUGAUCCAUUAUUUAUGAUUAGAAAUUUAAAUUACCUUAGGGAUAACAGCGUAAUUUUUUUUUAAAGUUCAUAUUAAUAAAAAAUUUUGCGACCUCGAUGUUGGAUUAAGAUUUAAUUUUAGGUGCAGCAGUUUAAAUUUUAAGUCUGUUCGACUUUUAAAUUCUU
rnacentral:rRNA from 1 species